AACGCAGCAUAUAUGUUUAAGUGAAUGAAGAGCCGGGGACAUACGUGCAUACGUAAACAAGCUUGCGGCACUCAGGUGCUGGUGCACUGGGAAUGACAUUGGUGCUCUAUACGCCAAAAAUUGUGCGCACUCUAAAUCAGUACCGAAACGCAGGGAGUGGUAUAAUGACCGUAACUGCGUUUACAUUUGGCAAUAAAUGGUCUCGGAGGGGACUGGCGGCCUAUAGAUCCAAGUACAACGGUCGGAGGAAAUUUUCGAAUGCGGCAAGCAAUUAACCCAAGUGUCAAAGGGCACUGCUGAACUGCAAUGUAGUUGGUUGAACUCAUUCCCAUGAUAUUUACAAAAUAUCUCGUCUCUGACAAUAACUGCCCAUUCAUUGAGACAAAUCGAUUACGCAUAAUCUUCACUGUUCAUGUGUUAAUUCUUGCGGUAAGAUGUAAUCGCAAACAUUUGGCGCUUCAUCUUGAAACAAGACCGGUAAGCGUGCUCGUUCUUGUACGGUAGAAUAAAGAACGCGAACAUGCACCGACAUGUGUGUAAACUACUGGAAGGUGACUGAAGAUGAAGGACCUAUUACCGUGCUAGUACUGUGUAUACUGUCAAAAAGAAGAAAAAAAUAUUUCGGAAAGAAAGAAUGCCCAGUGUCGAGAUGUAACGAUUCAAGCUUUAUUUCUUUUUGACCUAGAAUGCAAUGCCAUUAGUUCCACGUGCUUUAUGCAUGGGUAAUGUUAUGACACAACUCAUUAUUUACCCGUUCAUUACAUGCACCAACCAGCCCAAAUUAUCCCUGUACUAGAGCUUAUGGACGCAUCGCAGUGCACUGCUUUGCACUUCAUUAUAGCACAGGGGUUUGCUAUCGCCAGUAGCGAAUGCUUUGGUUGACCUCCCUGCCUUUCUGCCUUUUGAAUUCUCUCUCCCUUUGUAUAAAACGCACUAACUUGUGGGAGAGAAAGCGUUCUCCUCUUUUAGAAUUCAAUUAAUUGUCAAGCAAUUAUAUUGCAGUUCCAGUAACUAGAGCAGAAAUGCGAAAACGAAACCGAUUCUGUUCGGUUCUCCGCGCUCAGAGUGCGACACCAGGGGGCAGCGCGCGCUGCGCGUCCGUUAGGAGUGGCAGACGGAGAUGCACAUGUGUAGUCAGCCGGCAUUUUUCGAGUCGUGUUGUAAAUGUUGUUAAUUCGCCGUAAAUAUCUCUUGAUUUGUACUCAAGGGUGGAGCAAGACCCCAAGGAAGAGAGAUUGACGCAUCGGGAGCGAAGAACAGAAACGAUGGAUGGUUACGCUGCUUGGGUCUCGGCACGUUCGAAUUGGCAAAGUUCCGAAUUUGUUGCUGUGUUGUGUACGCUUGUGCGCUCGUUAUUUGCCGUCAUCGCGCGGAGAUAUUUGCGCUGGAUGUCUUUCACUUCGUGUACAAAACUCUGCUCGCUGCGGCAUCGAAGAAGUUGUCCUGUGUUUGGGUGCACGUAUGCGCUUGGACACGGAUAGCCUGCUUGCUCUCAACGGGUGUUCAACAGUCUACGCGCGCUCGUAACUUGCUCAUGAGGCAAGUUGCUGUUGUGCUGGAGCUGAGAAGAGGUCUGCUGCCUGCAAUGGGUCCAUCUCUCUCAAGUUAUUGCAGUAUUAUAGCUCUCAAGGUUCAAAAAAAGUAUGGUGGAAGCUGUUGCCAAGGUUCCGACCAGAAAAGACAGCCAGUAUAAAAGGGUCCACGCCACUGAUCUCUACUACAGGGGAUGAACAGCACAUCGAGCGCCCUCGACUGAAGCCGGCCUUGUCCCGGAAGUUGGUGCUUGACAACUUUGCGGCAGCACUUUGUUGCACGGCCUGUGGAGACAAGGUUUCUUAGACAUGGCCGUGGCCCUCAAGGAAGAUGCCGAGGCCACAGGCAGUUCCUCCAGUGACCGUGAAAAGGUCCCCUGGGGCACAAGUCUGGUUUGGCACCCCCACCUUUCUCCUGCAGCUUUUCUGUCUACUUAGCUAACCAGCAAGUUUAUCCUUGCAAGCGUUUGGAGUCAAGAACAACUUUCACCAGGAAGAAGUGCAAGACGAGUGAUUGAAGAAAAUAAAGUUGCUUCUGUGAUCUAAGAA